CCAGAUGGCCGGAUGGCCGCUCCCGCUCCGGCGGGGGAGGAAAGUCCGGGCUCCACGGAAAAACGGUGCCGGAUAACGUCCGGCGGGUGUCAAGCCCAGGGACAGUGCCACAGAGAGCAGACCGCCCGGCUUUCGAGCCGGGCAAGGGUGAAAGGGUGCGGUAAGAGCGCACCGCGCGACCGGCAACGGAAGCGGCACGGCAAACCCCACCGGGAGCAAGACCAGAUAGGAGGGCACGUGCGGCGCAAGCCGUGCAGGCGUUUUCCGCGCCGAUCCUCGGGUAGGUCGCGUGAGGCGUUCGGCAACGAACGUCCCAGAUGAAUGGCCAUCCAGGGGCCGGACGCGCGUGAGUGAUGGCGGGCAACCGCUAUAUCGUGCGCGGCAGCGGCCCCGGACAGAACCCGGCUUACAGGCCGUCUGGCGCU
rnacentral:RNase_P_RNA from 1 species